rnacentral:misc_RNA from 1 species
AAGUCGUAACAAGGUUUCCGUAGGUGAACCUGCGGAAGGAUCAUUAACACGUAUCCAACGUUAAACCCCCCUGUGAACUUUUAUACUUGCUCUCCUAGCCCGCCGGAAUUGCAAUCCCUGGUAAAUCAUUGUUGAACAGAUUUUGAUUCAGGGACCUCAGUUUGGUAGGCGAAGAUCGAGCGAUCGUUGCAAGUGGCCUGGUUUCCCCAAGCAGUCAGUGUCUGGAAGACUAGAGGCCGAACACCGGCCGGUGACCAGGUCGCCGUGGCUUCGGUCCCCUAUAUUAACCCCACUACCUGAACUCGCCUCGUAGGAAACUGCUGGGCAACAAAACGAACAACUGUUAACAAUGGAUAUCUUGGUUCUC